GAUUAUAAAACCAUUUGAAAUGGGUUUUUGCAUAAAUAUAGCACCCAAGUUUACAGUUUCGGGCCAAAGCAGUCGUCUUUCGCGGUUUCUCCCCUCUGAAUCUGAUUCUCCCAAACAGAACAGAUGAGAGAGUUUGUGACGAAGGAAGAAAAAUGGGUGGAGAAGAAAGAGCGGACCCACCAGGCCCGAAGGUCCUCCGUCUCCUCUAUUUCGUCGGCGCCGGAUUUAUUUGCACCGUUGGAAUCAGUAAGUAGCGCGAGAUGCAGCGCAAGUCCAUGGCUUUACAGCAACAGCAGCAGCUCCCCGAAAAUGCUGCAAAUGCCCUUGAGUGAUGUCAGGUUUUUGUUUGAAAUUCUUGCUGAAUGUGUGAAACAGUAACAAUUUGAGUGAUUUGUUCUGAAAUUUUGCGUAAAUAUGAAAUCUUGCUGUGUUUUGAGCCGGAUUUUCGAAUUUCGCCGCGAAAUUUGGCAAUCUGUCUCAGCUUUUAAGUUUAUAUGUGCUGCUCCUUGUGAACUCCAGUUAGAAUGAUCGAACUUUAGUAGUUUGGUUGUUGAAUUUCACGACCGAAUAGUAAACGAAUUCGUAUCCUUCGAUGUAUAAAAUUGUACCGAAUAUGACUAAUUCUCGGCAUAAUGCAAGAGCCUUUCUUUUCUGUCAA